GACGAACGCUGGCGGCGCGCUUAACACAUGCAAGUCGAACGGAAAGGCCUGCUUUCCCUUGUGGAUUGCGGGUACUCGAGUGGCGAACGGGUGAGUAACACGUGAGUGAUCUGCCCCCAACUUGGGUAUAAGCCUGGGAAACUGGGUCUAAUUCCCGAUAGGACUGCAGGGUGGUGCCUGUGGUGGAAAACGAAUUUCUAGUGGUUGGGGAUGAGCUCGCGGCCUAUCAGCUUGUUGGUGGGGUAAUGGCCUACCAAGGCGGCGACGGGUAGCCGGCCUGAGAGGGUGGACGGCCACAUUGGGACUGAGAUACGGCCCAGACUCCUACGGGAGGCAGCAGUGGGGAAUAUUGCACAAUGGGCGGAAGCCUGAUGCAGCGACGCCGCGUGGGGGAUGACGGCCUUCGGGUUGUAAACUCCUUUCGACCGCGAGGAAGCCACCUGGUUGGAAGGGUGGUGACGGUAGUGGUAGAAGAAGCACCGGCUAACUACGUG
rnacentral:rRNA from 1 species